ACCUCCAGUCAGAAGGGGAGGCGGGCUCUUCCGGGGGACUUUCUGCAGGCUGGAAUCUGAAGCUUCCUUAGUGCUAGUGGUUCUUUGCCACUACCUGCGGCUUAAGCGCGAGCCUGGGAGAGAAGAUAUGUAGUCAGAAGAUGGCCUCAGAACCUCUAAGCUUGGAGUUAUUGACAGUUGCGAGCCCCCAUGAUUCAGUAACCUACGAUGAUGUGCAUGUAAACUUCACUGGGGAAGAGUGGGUCUUGCUGGAUGCUUCCCAGAAGAGUCUCUACAGAGAUGUGAUGCUGGAGACCUACAGCAACCUCACUGCUAUAGGUUACAAAUGGAAAGACAAUGAUAUUGAAGAACAUUUUUGUCAAAAUUCUAGAAUACAUAGAAGGCAUGAAAGAGGUCCUGGAGAGAAACCCUAUGAAUAUACUCAGUGUGGUAAAGCCUUUGCACAACACAGUCAUCUUCAAGGGCAUGAAAGAAUUCUUACUGGAAAGAAACCCUAUGAAUGUAAUCAAUGUGGUAAAGCCUUUAUAUGUCACAGUAGUCUUUCAAAUCAUGAAAAGCAUCAUACUGGAGAGAAACCAUACAAAUGUAUUGAAUGUGGUAAAGCCUUUUCACAACAGAGUCACCUCCAGAUACAUAAAAGAAUACAUACUGGAGAGAAGCCCUAUGAAUGUAAUCAGUGUGCUAAAGCCUUUUCACAACAGAGCCAUCUCCAGAAACAUAAAAGAACACAUACUGGAGAGAAGCCCUACAAAUGUAAUCAAUGUAAUAAAGACUUUUCACAACAAAGUCAUCUCCAAAUCCAUAGAAGAACACAUACUGGAGAGAAACCCUACAAAUGUAAUCAAUGUGAUAAAGUCUUUUCACAACAAACUCAUCUCCAAAGACAUAAAAGAACACAUACUGGAGAGAAGCCCUACAAAUGUAAUCAAUGUGGUAAAGCCUUUGCUCAUCACAGUUAUCUUGAAAAACAUCAAAGAACACACACUGGAGAGAAACCUUAUCAAUGCAACCAAUGUGGUAAAGCCUUUGCACAUCACAGUUAUCUCCAAAAACAUAAAAGAACACACACUGGAGAGAAACCUUAUCAAUGCAAUCAAUGUGGUAAAACUUUUGCAUGUCACAGAAGUCUUCAAAUUCAUGAAAGAAUUCAUACUGGAGAGAAACCUUAUGAAUGUUGUCAAUGUGGUAAGACCUUUGCACAUCACAAUUAUCUCCGAAACCAUAAAAGAACACAUACUGGAGAGAACCCCUACAAAUGUAAGGAAUGCGGUAAAGCCUUUGCAUGUCACAGUCAUCUUCAAAGGCAUGAAAGAGUUCAUACUGGAGAGAAACCCUAUGAGUGUAGUCAAUGUGGUAAAGCCUUUGCAUGUCACAGCAGUCUUCAAAAUCAUGAAAAAAAUCAUAUUGAAGAGAAACUCUAUGAAUUAUGUAAGCAAUAUGGUAACGCCUUUGUACAUCACAGUUAUCUCUGAAAACAUAAAACACAAAAGAAUAUAUUCUACAGAAUAUAAUCAGGAUUUUAAAGUCAUGUCACAGUUGUCUUUGAGGACAUGAAAGAACUCAUACUGAAAGGAAUCUCUGACUAUAAAGUGUUUAGUGAGAUCUGUAGCCAACACACUUCCAUCCGGGACAGAAUAUUAUUUACUAGGGAGAAAAUAAUCUGAGAUGUGUCCACAAUAUUUUCAAGGCGUUUGCCUGUCUUUACUUUGUAUCUACAAACUCUUAUGGACAAAAGCCGUAUGGAUGUAAAUUAAAAGAUAUCCAAUUUAGGUCUCACACUUCUUUUUGAUGACAUGAAAUAGCUCAUCCAGAUAUGAAACUUUAUGGAUGCCAGAUAUGAAACUUUAUGGAUGUGUUUUAGUAAAUUUUCUGAGCUAUGAGAAAACACAAUGUCUAAGGCAGUUUAUAAAAAAAACCAUUAAUUUAGUUUAUGGUUCCAGACGGAUGUGGGAUCACCAUCAAAGAGCCAGGGCAAUGAGCGCCAGGCGUGGCAGCUAAGGUGUGAAGUUAAAAGUUCACCUCUUCAACUUGAAGCAUGAAGCAGACAGGAGGAGCUGGAAGGCGUGUGAGGAUUUAAGCUCUCAAAGCCCAUCCCCCAGUGACAUGUUUCCUCCAGAAGGGUGGCAUUUACUAAAUCUUCCCAAAUGACACCCCCAACUGUGGGGUGUUGAUUCUCUGACUUUAAGUCUACAUGCUUGCUUUUUAUUAGGGUAACCAAUCCACAGGGAAGAAAAUCCCUGUAGACAGGAGCCUAGCAUGGCUGUCUUCUGAGAAGGUCUACCAGCAGCUGACUGAGACAGAUGCAGAUAAUUACAUUACAGAUAAUUGGACUAAGGUCAAGGACCCCUAUUGAAGAGUUAGGAGAAAGAUCAAAGGAACUGAAGGGGAUGAAAGGAGCUACCCCACAUGAAGACCAACAGCAGUGUCAACUAACCUGGACCCCUGAAUACUCCCAGAAACAACAACCAAAGAACAUACAUGGGCUUAUUCAAGGCCUGUGGCACAUAUCUAGCAGAGAACUGAUUGCCUUGAGUAUCCCCAGAGGGAGAGGAUGUGCCCAGUUCUGUAGAGACUAUAUACCAGGUAGAUACCUGGGGAGGUCACCCUCUCAGAGGUAAAAUGGAGGGAAGACAGAGUGGGGAAUUCUGGGAGGGGGUAAUGGGAGAUGGGGCAAUAUUUGGGAUGAAAAUAAAUAUGUGAUAAAAAAAAAAACAGAACAAACACUGCCAAAUUCAUUCUAGGAGGCCACAGUUACCCUAAUAACUUAAUGGUGAGGUUUGGUCUGUUGCUAUGUAUUGUAAUGCUAAAUUCUCUAUCACAAGGUCUAAUUGCCUUAAGGCAAUGCAACCCUCUGGUAUACUAAUUUUUGUUGUACAAAUCUUGCCCUGUAAGUUAUCUUGUUAAUAAAGAUGCCUUCAGGCUCUAGUUGGACAGAAAAGAGUUAGGUGGGGCUUUGGUUCCUGGGAUUGAGGCCUGAGGCAGAGUCCAUGAAGGAGAGAGAAAAGAAGAAGGAAUGAGGCAUGCUAGGGUGCGUGAAUUGUGAGCACAUGGUCAUGUGGGCUGCUACAUGGAGUAGGAGCAGCCCAGGGAAAACAUGGCAAGUGAUAUCUCAGGAUUAUUGACAGGAAAAUAGACAAAGUAACAAAGAGGGUUGAUAUCUGCCUAGCUCUAGUGCUUUAAGGCUUAUUAUAAAUAGAAAGGUUUUGUGUCUUUUAUAUGGGAACUAAAUGACCUAAGGUGGAGUCAAAACCUCCAAAUAAUUUUACUACAACAGCUAAACCACAAAAUGGCACAACAAAGAAAGAGAAUUUCAGACCAAUCCCCCUAUGAACAUUCACAUAAAAAUAAUAAAAUAUUUGCACACUAAAUCUAAGAACACAUCAAAAACAUCAUCCAUCAUAAUCAAGUAAACUUCAUUACACAAAUGGAGGGAUGGGUCAACAUGAAAAUCUACCAUUUAAUGCAACAUAUAAACAAAAUGAAUUUAAAUAAAACCACACAUUAUUAUCUCAUUAGAUUCUGAAAAAACCCUUUGAAAAAAAAUCCAAUACCCUUUCAUGAUAAAAAGUCUUGGAGAGAUCACAAGGCACACAUCUAAACACAAGAAAGGCAAUAUACAGCAAGCCAAUAGCUAACCUCAAACUAAAUGGAAACAAACUUAAAGCAAUCCCACUAAAUCGGGGACAAGGCAAGGCUGCCCACUCUCUCUCUGUCUAUUCAAUAUAGUACUUGAAGUUUGGCUAGAGCAAUAAGAAAACUAAAAGAGAUCAAAGGGAUAAAAAUUGGAAAGCAAUAAGUCAAAACAUCUUUAUUUGCAGAUGAUAUGAUAGUAUACACAAGGGACCCCCAAAAUUUACCAGGGAACUCCAACAACUGAUAAACACCACCAGCAAAGUGGCUAAAAACAAAAUUAACUAAAAAAAAAUUAGUAGCCUUAUUUAUACAAAUAAUCAAUAGUCUGAAGAAGAAAUUAUGGAAAAAACACAUUUUACAAUAGACACAAAUAACAUAAAAUAUCUUGGUAUAACUCUAACCAAUAGAGUGAAAGACCUGUAUAGCAAGAACUUCAAGUCAUUGAAGAAAGAAAUUGAAGAAUGUGUCAGAAGAUGGAAAAUCUCCCAUACUCUUGGACUGGUAGGAUUAACAUGGUAAAAAUGGGCACCACACCAAAAGCAAUGGACAGAUUCAGUGCAAUUCCCAUCAAAAUUGGAAGACAAUCCAUUACAUACCUUGAAAGGACAAUGAAGAACUUUCAGGGGUAUGACCAUCCCUCAUCAAAAGCUGAAUUACAGAACAAUUGUAAAAAUCCACAUAGUAUCGACCUAAAAACAAGCAAGCUGAUCAUUGAACUCAAAUCGAAAACCCAGAAGUAAAGCCACACACAUAUGAAAAAUUGAUUUUGGACAAAGAAACCUGAACUAUACAAUGGAACAAAGAAAGCAUCUUCAACAAAUGGAGCUGGUCCGACUGGAUGUCUGAAUAUAGAAGACUACAAAUAGAUACAUAUCUAGUAUCCUGUACAAAUCCAAAUGGAUCUAAAACCUCAACAUAAAACAUGAUAUACUAAAUCUAAUAGAAGAGAAAGUGGGGGAAUAGCUUUGAAUACACUGUCACAGGAGAUAACUUCCUGAGCAGAACACAAGUAGUUUGGGUGCUAAGAUCAACAAUUAAUAAACUGGACUUCAUGAAACUUAAAAGCUUCUGUAAGGCAAAGAACACUGUCAAAAGGACAACACAGUUGCCAAUAGAAUGGGAAAUGAUCUUUACAAAACCAGCAUUUCACAGAGGGCUGAUAUCACAACUAUUUAAACAACUGAAGAAAUGAGAUGCAAACAAAUGAAACAACCCAAUUUAAAAAUGGGUACAGAGCUAAACAGAGAAUUCUAAACAGAUAAAUCUUUAAUGACUGAGAGGCACUUAAAGAAAUAUUCAACAUCCUUACUCAUCAGGGAAAUGCAAAUGAAAACCACUCUAGAAUUCCGUCUUACACCUAUUGUAGGAUCCAAAAUAAGUUCAAGACCACCUAGCCCCUUCCCCUCUGAAGGAACUUUCAGAAACAUAGCAGUCAAAAUGACUAAGUCUACAGCUACCAAAACAAAAUGGGCUGUUCUCAGAAAAAUAACCAUAACGAGAUUAGCAAUUCCCAGAGAAAUUCCCCUAUCCUUCCCACACUGAAUUCUGAGAAAAAACUACAAACCACCCUGACCUUGUCGAUAGCUGUAACAUUAAUAGCUGACCCAUAAGUUUGAAUUGUACUGCUGCUUUGCUGACCAAAUCAUAAUAACCCACCAUAAGGGCAGGCAAAGUGAGUCACUAGGCCAAAGGUAGUCACCAAGCAUUGCCUGAAAAGGUUACUUGCUACACCAAUGAAAAUAAGCCAGCUAGCUCUGUUGCUUAAAUCUGCCCCUUACAAGGUACAAAAAGUGUGUUCUUUCUUUGUUCUGGGUCUCUCCUCUGACCUGCAUGCUGGGGGGGCAGGUCCCCAAUGUGUUGGAUCAAUAAAAACCCUCUUGCAUUUUGCAGCAAUGGUGGUCUUUGUGGUCUUUGUGAGUGAGUGUCUUUUGACUUCAACACCAUCAGGAUGAAUAAGAUGAAAAUCUCAAGUGACAGACCAUACUGUCAAUGAUAUGUCUGAGGGCUUUACUGCUGUUUGGGAGUGCAAACUUGUACAAUCACUUUGGAAAUCAAUUUGGUGGUGUCUUAGGGUUUCAUUGCUGUGAAGAAACAAUAUGGCUAAGGCAACACUUAUUUAGGAAAUAUUUGACUGAAGUGGUCUUACAGUUUCAGAGGUUGUGGUAGUUUGAAUGAUUGGCACACUAUUUGAAGGUGUGGCCUUGUUGGAGGAAGUGUGUCAUUGUGGGCAUAGACUUUAAGACCCUUCCCCUAAACUUGUGGGAGCCAGUCUUCUCCUAGUGGCCUUCAGAUGAAGAUGUAUAACUGUCAACUCCUUCUGCACCAUGCCUGCCUGCACGUGUCCAUGUUCCUACCUUGAUGAUAGUGGACUAAACCUGAUAAUAGUGGCCAGCUCCAAUGAAAUGUUGUCCUUAUAAGAGUUGCCUUGGUCAUGGUGUCUAUUCACAGCAGUAAAGCCCUAAGACACAAACUGGUACCAGGGACUUGGGUAUCACUGAGAUAAGCCUGACAAUUGGAAGAAUAUGAAUUUGAGGACUUUGGACUUGGGUAUCACUGUGAUAAGCCUGACAAUUGGAAGAAUAUGAAUUUGAGGACUUUGGAUUUGGAAAGCAUUUGGAUGCUUUAAGUGUGACUUAAUGGGCAAUCCUGGUAGGAAUAUGGAAGACUUUGUUGCUGAGAGUGACUUGAACUGUUCAGACAUGAUCCAAAAUGUUUCAGUGUAGAAAAGCUUCAGUAUGUGGCAUAGAGACUUGUUUUGUGGAUUUUUUUUUUGAAGAAUGUGGCUGCUUUUUGCCCUUGUCUGAAGAGUCUACCCGAGGCUAAGGUAAAGAGAUUUAUAGUAACUGAAUUGACAAAGAAAAUCUCAAAAGAGCCCAGCAUAGACUUUGUUCUCUGGUUUAGUCUUAUGAAGAGCGUUUUAAUGAGAAGUAUCAAACUGAGAAAGGAAAAAUGAAAAAUGUGUGGUUUAAGUUAUAAAAGGGAACCAGGAAGUGAAAGGGAGACGAAUCUUGUAUUCAAAAAGAUAAAGAGAUUAAGGUUGUGGCGAUAUCAGGGCAAGAUCCCACCCAGCAAAGCUUAUUGUUUUUGUUUGCAGUUGAAGAAAAAAUAGUUUGGAUUUUUAAUUUGCAUUGAACUACAAUCCAGAAAUGUGGGGGCACACUUGUGAUCCAGAUCUUGAGUCUGGAAGACACAGGCUUUCUUUCUGGAUCUUGAGGAACACUGGUGAUGAAAAGCCUAUGCCCAGACAUGGUGGUACACUCAUGUAAUACUAGAUUAUGUCAAGCAGAUCUCUGAGUUCAAGGCCAGUGUGGGACAGAGCAAGUUCUAAGCAAAGUAAAGCAUAAAUCCAGGCACAGUAGUACAAAUGUUUAAUCCCAGCAUUUGGGAGACAGAGACAUACAGAUCUCUGAGUUCAAGGUCAAUCUACAGGGCAAGAUUCAGCACAGCCAAGCUUAGGCAGUGAGAGAGUUGGAAAACAGAAAGCUAAGGGUGGCUCUAUUCUAGCUCCAGCAACUACUGGGACAAUUGAUGCUGGUUAGCUGGAGCUAAGAAAUUAGUGGUGAUUAGGAACAGACUAGCAUCACUGAGGUGAAAUCUUCUGAGAAGUGUUUUCUGAGAGCACAAAGCAUUUGUGUUCUAGAGAUAGUCAAGAUUGUACCCAUGCUGCAACCUUGGUAAUUGUGUAAGAGUCACCCAGGUGGUACUGGUUGUAAAGGUAUGAAGGCAUAAUGGAGAGCAGCUGAGACUUGUCACUGUAAGAGGCCAGGGAAGGCCAUUGGUAGAGGUGCAGCCUCAGUUACAGUUGAUGGCCAAGGACUGAAGGUGUCAUGUAAAAGUUAAGGUUUGGCACCAUGGAGAAGCCUAGUUGCAGCAGACGAUCCCAGCAUAUUGUAGAUGCCAGUACCAUCACAAGAACAUCAGAGGAGUGGAGUGAACAAGAGCCUAGAGUACUACAGAGGGCAGAGCUGGAGAAGUGACACAAGCCUAUUGGAGUAGCCUAGAAGAUCGUGUAUGGAUCCCAGAUAUUGGAACAAGAAACUGUGAAAUUCAAGUUCACUUGGAGAUCCCAAGACAUUAAAGAUGUCAGAGUUGUGGUAUAUCUGCUGAGGAAACCUUCCAACAGGACGGAGAAUCAGCCCAAGAGAAAGCAGUUUGUACAAGCAACAAAGACAAAAAUGGAGUUGGAGAUCUGAUGACAGCUUUGAAAUCAGAAAUGGAGAUUCGGAGUUUGGAGUUUGCCCAGCUGGUUUCCUGUCUUGCUUAUGGAUUACAGUUAAGUGAUUGGAUAAGUAUCAGAAGAGACUUUGAACUUUGGAUUUUUAAUAUUGUUGAGACUGCUAUAGACCACGGGGACUUUGGAAGUUGGACUAAACUUAUCUUUAUUAUACUUUGGCUAAGUAUGGCCCCCAUAUACUCAUGUGUUUGAACAAGCCUAAGGGGGGCGGGCAGGGGAUAGAAUGUGUUAGUUUGAAUAAACUUGGCCCAGUAUGUGGCACUAUUUGGAAGUGUGGUCUUGUUGGAGGAAGUGUGUCAUCAUGGGUGUGGGCUUUAAGGCACUCCUUCUAACCAUCUAACCAUGUCUUCUCCUAGUGUCUUUUAGAUGAAGAUGAAGAACUCUCAGCUUCUCCUGCACCAUGCCAGCUGGAUGCUGUCAUCCUCCUUCCUUGAUUAUAAUAGACUGAAAAUGAACCUAUAAGCCAGCCUCAAUUAAAUAUUGUCCUUAUAAGAGUUGUUUUGGUUAUGGUGUCUGUUCUAGCAGUAAUAACUAAGAUAGAGCUUCAGUCCAUUAUCAUCAUAUCAGGAAGCAUGGUAGCAUCCAGGCAAACAUGGUGCUGGAGAAGGAGCUGCAACUUGUACAUCUUGUUACAAAGACAGCCAGAAAAACUCUAUCUUCCACAGACAGUCAAGAGGAGCGCCACUUCUGGAAUGGACAGAGCUUCAGCACUAGGAAAUAUCAAAGCCUCUAGACAGUGAAAAACUUAAUCUAAGACCACAACUAUUCCAACAAAUCCUCACCUCUGAAUAGUGUCACUUCCCAUGGUCUAAGUAUAUACAAACCACCAGAGGAGGUCUCCCAAAGUUUUUGGAAUAUUUCUAGCUCAAGACCCAGCUAUACUACUCCUGAACAUAUAUCAAAAAAAAAAAGUUCCAUCAUACAAAAUAGAUACUUGCUCAACUAUUUUCCUAGCAGCUUUAUUUGUAAUAACCAGAAAUUAGAAACAACCCAGAUGUCCCUCAACUGAAUGAAGAUUAAAAAAAAAAAGUACAUUUACACAAUGGAAUAGUACUCAGCUACUAAAAACAAAUCAUGAAAUUUGCAGGAUAAUGGAUGGAACUAGAAAAUAUCAUUCUGAGUGAGGUAGCCUACACACAGAAAAACAAACAUGGUAUGUAGUCACUUAUAAAUACCCAUAAAGUAAAGGAUAACCAAGCUACAAUCCACAGCCCCAAAGAAGCAAAACAAAAAAUUGGGAUCAGGGGAGUAUGCUUGAGUGUCACUGAGAAAUGGAAAUAAAAUAGACAUCUGGGAUGGAUGGAGGGAGAAAAGUGGGCAGGAGAGUGGGAUAGAGAGGGGAACAGGAGUGAUCCAGUAUGUAGAGAAUGUGAGGAGAGAAAACUAGGAGAGAGAACUGGAAUGGAGGAGGGAGAAAUAUUUCAGGAAAAGCUAGAAAUCCAGGACAAUGGAAACUCCUGGGAAUAUAUGAGGGUGACCAUACCUAAAACUCCUAGCAGUAGGGGAAUACAGAAUAUAAAAUUGUUGCCUCUUGUAACCAGACAAGACUUCCAAUGGGGAUAUUAACCUAACCACAGUUUUUCCUUUUAUAAGAAGUGCAGAGAUAUGGAGGGAACAAAAAGGGAGGGAAUGGACAACCAAGGAGUGGCCCAACUUGAGUUUCAUGCCAUGAGAGAACCUAACCUUGGUACUAUUAAUAUUAUUCUGCUAUACUUCAUAGAGAAGGCUAGUAUAACAAUCAUCAGAGUGGCUUCACAGGACAGAUGAAAAUAAGAUGUUGAGACCCAAGGCCAAACAGUAGGCAGAGCUUGGGCAAUCUACUAGAACGGGGAGAAAGGAAAGGAAGAAGCAGGAGAAGAGGACCUGUAAUGCCUCUGAGGAAUUUCUCUCAAUAGAUUGCAUUGAUUCAAUGGACAAUUACUUGUUUAAUUGGAGAAAUUAAACACUCAGCAAUUCUGUUAUGAAGAAGUGGAUAUUUAAGUGGGUAAAAUAACAGAACUUCUCUAAGCUCGAGGUUUCUCAUUUACAAAGUGAGGCAUUAAAUGAUCUCAUAGGGCCUUCUCAAAACUCUAAUAUUCUUUAAUUCUUUCUACUAUAUUUCAUAAAUCACAGUCUGUGUAGACAGAAAGAUCACUAGCAAGUGUGGAGAACUGCUCUAAUUUUCUUUUUAAGUGAAAAUAAUGUUAUUGACUCCAUGGGGAGAAGAAGGAGGUUACUGAAUGACCUUGCCCCUGUACACAAGUAAGAUGUUGAGAUCUGUCACUUGAUGCACACAGCUACAGCCAGUGAGCACCCUAUGUUUCCAAAACUCCAAGCUGAAUUAACUGUGUCAACCAGGAUUGUACAUUUCUGCAUAGAGUUGGAAAUUCAAUAUUCAUCAGUUCAAGUUAACCUCCCCAAAUGGUACACCUACUAAUCUGGUCUCUUUUCAUUUAUAUGGCAUGAAUUAAUGCAUGCUGUGGAAAAUACAAAGCCACCCUCCAACUUCAAUCAGGUCCUUCUUCAUAAUGGGGACCACUGAAAACUUUGGUCUGUGAUCUACCUAUGCCAUUUCCCCCUGUCUGUACACUAUAAACUAUUCCUCCUAUUCUAGUCUGAAAGCAGAGCCAUGCUCCACACACAAAUCCUUUUUCUGCUGUUACAAUGGGCAGUUAUCUAAGUGACUCAAACUGAUAAUUUUAAAUCUCUGUGAUGGUACAACCCCUUAAUUUAAGAAUAUCAAAGUUUUAAUUUUAAUCAAGAUGGGCGUGGUGGCACACACCUUUAGUCCCAGCACUUGGGAGGCAGAGGCAGGCGGAUUUCUGAGUUCAAGGCAAGCCUGGUCUACAAAGUGAGUUCCAGGACGGCCAAGGCUAUACAGAGAAACCCUGUCUCGGGGAAAAAAAAAAGCAAUAAUUCUAAUCAAGUGGACAGUAAAGCCCUGUGGAGAUCAAGGGCACUUGAAACAAUUCAACAGAGCCUCAUAAACAUUUUUUUCUAAAAGGCUGGAGGUACAACCAUUCUAGAUUAAAUAUGUCUUCCCAGGGAGAAAUAACAUCAUGAAAUUAAGAAAGAAAUAAAUGGGGAAAUUUUUCUUGAAGAAUAGCAUGAAACCAGUUCUGGCUAAAGCUCAAAGAAGAGGCAGCCUACAACACAUUUUGGAUUCAAUAUAUGCUGGCUCAGGCCUCAGGUUACCCUUUGAACAAUUUAAAUACAGACUUCAAUUCUAACCACUUAAGCAGAAGGGAGAUUUACACAGCACAGCAAAAAUAUUCCCAGAAAUAAUUCUUCAGUACACUAAUGUCAUGAAACCGCAGAUCAUUCCUCACUGACACAGUCCAUAGGUGAAUAAGACAGAUGAUGAACAAGAUUGGGAAAGUACAAGGAGCAAAAGAAAAAAGCUGGGGUGGGGAGGUCUUAACACAAUCCAUGAUUAAUGCAAAGUAGGCUUCUUAAAAAGGAUACUACUUCAAGGGGAAAGGGAAGGAAAUGGGAGACUUCUAUGAAGACAGUAGAAACAAUAAUAUAUUGGUACAAAUUCAGAAGAAGGUUAACUGAAAGUUCCUGAGAGAGAAGAGUGAAAAAUUAUGUAAGCCCCUAGACUUGUGUCCAAAAUAGACCUCACUAAUGGCAGGAAGUAAAAGUUUAACUCGCCCCAUUGUUUCAGGAUGUACUAACCACAAAGUAGAAGUUUAACUUGCUCCAUUGUUUUAGGAAACGUUUGUACAGAAUACUCCAACCGUUUCUUGAACCCAUUAUGCUUGCCAAAUGCUAUAGCUCCAUGCCAGGUGUUUGCGGUUUCUGCCUUUAUAAAUCCCUUACCCUUUGAGCUCAGGGUCGACUCCUCUACCCCUGCGUGGGAUACAGGUCAUCCUCAGUGCACUGUCCUUUCCUGAUUAAACCUCUUGCUGUUUGCAUCAA